rnacentral:rRNA from 1 species
UACGUAGGGUGCAAGCGUUAAUCGGAAUUACUGGGCGUAAAGCGUGCGCAGGCGGUUAUGUAAGCCAGAUGUGAAAUCCCCGGGCUCAACCUGGGAAUGGCAUUUGGGACUGCAAGGCUGGAGUUUGGCAGAGGAGACUGGAAUUCCUGGUGUAGCAGUGAAAUGCGUAGAUAUCAGGAGGAACACCGAUGGCGAAGGCAGGUCUCUGGGCUGAAACUGACGCUCAAGCACGAAAGCGUGGGGAGCAAACAGG